rnacentral:lncRNA from 1 species
AAACCAGGUCAGCACCCAUCAAUUCACUACCCUCCGCAGAACCCUGAGACACAAGAGAUUUGAUGUUUGGCAUUAUAUGCAUAGAAAUGCAUGUCUUGAUUUGGAAUUUGGGGAGCUCUUUUUACACUUAACUACGAUUACAACCUCAUUCUGAGGUAAGUAAGAAAGAUAAAAAUUGUAGAAAGUGUAAUUCAUGUUAUUUUUUAAAAAUGCUUUCUGUCCUGUUGGCUUCCAGCUCCUUGGCUGAGAAAUGUCACAGACUGCUGAAGCUUGUCUCCAAGCCAAAGGCAAAUCUAUUUACAAAGUUGCAGUUGUUUGCAAAGUCCUUCAAGUAUCAUUAAGACGAAUCAGGAAACAUAGAUAAUUCUUCAAGAAAAGAAUACGAUCACAGGAAGACACUGCUCAUACAGAAUAUCCACAAUGUGUCACUA